ACCACGUGAUCAUCCACGAGAGCGGUGUCGAGUCGCUGAGAUAACACGGUGUGCAGCUGGAUGAACACAGCAGGUCAAGCAGUAUCAGAGGAGCAGGAGAGCUGACGUUUCGGGCCUAGAUCCUUCGCUGAGACCAAGAUUUGUGCAAUUGAGAUACCAGCGAUCAUUGCCAAAGCACUGUUGCCUGUGGGGAAGGUGUUGUUUAACUUUCGUGUCCUGCUGCAGUUCGUAUGAUGGUACUCCUGCAAUGCGGUCAUUUGAGAAGUUACAGAUCGUUCAUCUAGCGAUACUCAAGAGCUGAUGGUGUAUGUCCAAAUCAACAAACUAUUCGUAUUUUUAUCAUGUUCUAUAAUUUCACAAAAAUAUUAUCAAGAAACUUUUGACGUAAGGUCAUGUUAGAUCGGGUUACCAAAUUCACAAGUUUUCCUGACUCUCUUAAAGAAGGAAGGCAAACCUAAGAGGUUUAUCAUGGGAAUUCCAGACCAUGUUGCCUGGCAACUGUAGAAACAGCCUCCAGGAGCGAAGCAAUGAUUAAACACACUGUUGGAGUCUGGAACUAAAUGAGUUGUCAAAGUUGUGUGGUGCAGGGAGAUAGGGCUCAUCACAGCCAGGAAUUUUAAAUUGUUGCUUAUAAAUAGGAGCCUUUGUGGGUCAGGGAGCACAGCAGUGAUGGUGAACAGGUCUUGGUACAAAUGAACUUGUGUGCAGCAGAAUUUUAGGUAUUCUUGAGGUUACAGGGACAUUGAAUGUGGGAGGCUGACUGGCGGUGAGUUUGGAUAGUUACAUCUAGAGGUAACACAGGAAUAGAUGAGAGGUUCAGCAGAUGAGCUGAAACUAAGGUGUCACUGUCAGAUCAUUUCCACUGAAGUGGAAAUCAGUAGUUUUUGUGCUGUUUAUCCUCACCUCACCUCAGGAAUUCAGCUGUUUGUGAAAUUGUGGAUCAAAUCUGCAAUAAGAUCAGGAACCGAGUGCCCGCCGUGACCCAAACUGGGUGUCACUGAGCAGGUUACUGCUGAGUAAGUGCUGCUUGAUAGUGCUGUUGAUGAUACCUUCCAUCACUUUACUGAUGAUAGAGAGUAGGCUGCUUGAGGGGAAAUUGGUCGGAUUGAAUUUUCUGUGUUUUUGUGCUGAACAGACCUGGGUAAUUUUCCAAAUUGUCAGUAGAUGCCAGUGCUGUAGCAGGACUGAAACAGUUUGGCUUGGCGGCAAGCAAGCUCUAGAGCACUAGUCAUCAAUACUAUUGCCAGAGUGUUUCCAGGGCCUGUAACCUUUACACUAUUCAUCCAUUUAUUAGUAUAAUUUGAAAUGAAUCAAAUUGGAUGAAAAAUCACAUCUGAUGUUGGGGACCUCUGGAGAAAGCUGAGAUGAAUCAUCCAGUUGGCACUUCUGGCUGAAGAUUGCUGCAGUCUUGUCUUGUGCAUGGAUAGUUUGGGCUCCUCUGUCAGUAAGGAUGGGGAUUUCGGGCAUGCUUCCUUCAGUGAGUUGUUUAAUUGUCCAUCACCAUUCACUACUGGGUGUGGCAGAACUGCAGAGCUUAGAUCUGAUCUAUUGGUUAUGGGAUGGCUCAGCUCUGACUCUUGCUGCUUAUGCUAUUUCGCAUGCAGAUAGUCCUGUUUGGUAGUUUUACCAGGUUGGCACCUUAUAUUUAGGUAUGCCUGGUGCUGUUCUUGGCAUGCCCUCCUACACUCUCCAUUCAAUUAGUGUGGUUCUCCUGGAUCAAUGGUAAUGUUUGAGUGCACAAUAUGCUGGCCUAUGAGGUUGUAGACUGUGCCGGAGUAAGUUGUGCUGCUGUUGAUGUCCCACAAAGCCUCAUAGAUGUCUGGUUUUGAGUUCCUACAUCUAUUCCAAGUCUGUCCCAUUUAGCCAGUGUUAGUGCCGCUCAACACAGUGGAAGGUAUUCUCAAGUUUAUGAUUAGGCUUUGUCUCCACAGGUCUGUGCGCCUGUCGCUGUUAUCAUUUCUCUCAUGGACAGAUGCCUCUGCAGCUGGGAAAUUCUUGACGAUGUGAUCAGCUAUGUUUUUCCCUUCUGUUGGUUGUGGCACCACCUGCUGCAGGCCCAGCCAGGCAGCUUUGUCCUUUGGGACCCGACCAGCUUGAUUGGUAAUCCUGCUGCAAAUUAUUCCUGAUGGUGGACACUGAGUACAUUUUGUGCCGUUUACACUCUCAGUUCUUUCUCCAAAUGUUGUUCAACAUGGAGUUUUUUUUAAUUAAAAUUCACUCUUCGAAUGUGGAAAUCGCUGGCUGGACCAGCAUUUAUUGCCCAUCCCUAAUUGCCCAGAAGGUAGUUAAGAGUCAACCAUAUCGCUGUGGGUUUGGAGUCACGUCGUCCAGACCAGGUAAAGAUGGCAGAUUUCCUUCCCGAAAAGACCUAAAUGAACCAGAUGGAUCUUUCCUGAUAAUUGGCAAUGUUUUCAUUGUGCUCAUUAUAAUCUUAAUUCCAGAUCAUUAUUUAAUUCAAAUUCCACCGUCUGCCAUGGCAGGAUUCGAACCCAGGUCCCCAGAAUGUUUUCUGAGUCUCUGGAUUAAUAAUCUAGUGAUAAUACUGCUGCUGAUUUACGAAUUGAGGGAGGAUGGUACAUGGUAAUCAGCAGGAGCCGUGAUACUUCCAGGUGUGAAUGUCAGUACUCCCAGGCCAAAUAAUCCGGUUGGAAUAGCAGUGUGCUGCCACGCCUUCCGGGUCUGUCCUGCUUGUGGGACAGGCCUUUAUUUAAGGACAGUGAUGGUGACGUGUUACAUAGAACAUAGAAAAGUACAGCACAGUACAGGCCCUUCGGCCCACGAUGUUGUGCUGUGUCAUUGUCUGUAAGGUAUGAUUCCAUUAGUCUGACGCUGUUUCUUGACUAGUCUUUGAGUCAGCUCUCCAAAUUUUGUCACUAGCCCCCAGAUAUUAGUAAGCAGGAGUUUGUGGGGUGAAUAGGGCUGAUUCUGGAGUUGUGCAGUUGUCUUUACUAGUUGCUUAGUAGAUGCCAAGUGGCCCACCCAGUUUCGUUGCUUUGUUGAGGCUUUGCAGUGAUUUGUAACUGAGUGGCUUGCUGAGUUUGACAAAUUUCUUUCCCUAAAGGACAUUAGCAAUGGUUCCAUGGCAACAGUUGAUUCUUAAUUCCAUUUUUAAAAUUGAAUUCAAAUUCCACCAUCUGCUGAGAUGGGAUUCGAGCGCGGACUUCUGUUGUACAUUUUAAUAUUCUGGAUAAAAGUUAAAUUCAUCAA